rnacentral:rRNA from 1 species
ACGAACGCUGGCGGCGUGCUUAACACAUGCAAGUCGAGCGGUAAGGCCUUUCGGGGUACACGAGCGGCGAACGGGUGAGUAACACGUGAGCAAUCUGCCCUGCACUUUGGGAUAACCACCGGAAACGGUGGCUAAUACCGGAUAUGACUGCCUGUGGCAUCACGGGUGGUGGAAAGUUCUGGCGGUGCAGGAUGAGCUCGCGGCCUAUCAGCUUGUUGGUGAGGUAAUGGCUCACCAAGGCUUCGACGGGUAGCCGGCCUGAGAGGGUGACCGGCCACACUGGGACUGAGACACGGCCCAGACUCCUACGGGAGGCAGCAGUGGGGAAUAUUGGACAAUGGGCGAAAGCCUGAUCCAGCAACGCCGCGUGAGGGAUGACGGCCUUCGGGUUGUAAACCUCUUUCAGCGCAGACGAAGCGAAAGUGACGGUAUGCGCAGAAGAAGCACCGGCCAACUACGU